rnacentral:rRNA from 1 species
AAUGAACGCUGGCGGCAGGCCUAACACAUGCAAGUCGAACGGAUCCUUCGGGAUUAGUGGCGGACGGGUGAGUAACGCGUGGGAACAUACCCUUUGGUACGGAAUAGCCUCGGGAAACUGGGAGUAAUACCGUACGUGGUCGAGAGACGAAAGAUUUAUCGCCAAAGGAUUGGCCCGCGUUGGAUUAGGUAGUUGGUGGGGGAAUGGCCUACCAAGCCGACGAUCCAUAGCUGGUUUGAGAGGAUGACCAGCCACACUGGGACUGGGACACGGCCACGACGUCUACGGGAGGCGGCAGUGGGGAAUCUUAGCCAAUGGGGGAAACCCUGAUGUAGCCAUGCCGCGUGAUCGAUGAAGGCCUUAGGGUUGUAAAGAUCUUUCAGGUGGGAAGAUAAUGACUGUACCACCAGAAGAAGCCCCGGCUAACUCCUUGCCAGCAGCCGCCGCAG